UACGUAGGUGGCGAGCGUUGUCCGGAUUUACUGGGCGUAAAGGGAGCGUAGGCGGAUUUUUAAGUGAGAUGUGAAAUACUCGGGCUCAACUUGAGUGCUGCAUUUCAAACUGGAAGUCUAGAGUGCAGGAGAGGAGAAUGGAAUUCCUAGUGUAGCGGUGAAAUGCGUAGAGAUUAGGAAGAACACCAGUGGCGAAGGCGAUUCUCUGGACUGUAACUGACGCUGAGGCUCGAAAGCGUGGGGAGCAGACAGG
rnacentral:rRNA from 1 species